UGUUUAAAAAUAUCUCCAAAUAUUGUAAAAGGCGUGUUCUGGGUGUUUUUUUGUGUUAGCAGGCUUUUUAACGCAAUUCGGUGAUGACGUCACAUUGGGGAGAGUAGCCUCAGCCUAGUACUAGAACUAUGGCGACUGACUGGGAUGAGGAAGAGUUAUUUUCAUUCUCAGUGAACAGCACCAAGUG